GGCCUCACAUGGGGCCAAGGGUGACUACUAAAACACGUACCAGUACAUUGCUGGGUGCUAGGUGCUGUACCUAGAGGCUGGGGGAAAAGACCAAGCAGACACGUUUCCUGUCUUUUAGUCUAGUUUGGGGGUAAGUCUCCUACCUGGAGAAAAUGGGAGGGGCUCUGAGGGAGCACAGAGGAGAUGGGGAGAACUGCCACCUCAGGGAGGAAAUAGAAGUUUGAAGAACGGAGAUAGGAGGAUAGAAGAGAUACACCUUGCUUAUCUCUUACCUGCUCAAAUCUCCCUGCCCCAAGGCCACUCCUUUGUUCCAGGCUCUCAAUGUCUUCCAUCUGUAUAACUGCAGGUGAGAAACAUUCCAUUGGCUUCCAUACUUUCAUUCAUAGUCCCUCCUACCUGUCCUUGAUGCUGAUGUCAGGAUGGGUGUUGAUGGAUUCUUCUGUUACUGCCAGGGACCCAAUUCAGGGCUAAGAGGACCAGAAUUCCAGCAUAGGAUGCCAAUGCAUAUAAUCUUAAGGCUUCAUCCCUGAGGACCUUGAGUGCAUAAGUGUGGAGACCCCAGCCCACCCAUCCAAGACCAGUUCUCACCCAUCUCCACCCUGCAAAUGGCUGCCCCCUCAAGUUUCUGGAACUAGUCCUAUAAGAACUACAAAUUCAACCCAUGAGUUUCCUUCCCCUAUUUUUUGCAUUCUUGGUCUCAGGAAAUAACCACCUAUUAUUAAGAUCCACAGGCCAGAAAUGCAAGUGUUAUUCAUGAUUCCUCUUUGUACCUCAUUCUUUACAUCUAAUUAGUACUUGUAUCUUGUUGAUUCUAAUUUCUAAAUAUUUCUAGAUUCAUUUUUCCCCAUCUCCCUUACUAUGAUAUUAAUUUAGCCCUCUAAUAGGAUUUAUUUAAAGGAUCUGAAUAGUCUCUUAAGAAUUCACUGCUAUAAUGCAUUUUUCACCCUAUUGCAAAAAUGAUUGCCCUAAAAUUUAAAUAGUAUCAUGUACUUCUUCUGCUUUUAAUUCUUCACUGGCUCCUUCAUGCUGUUCAUGAUAAAAUCCAGAGUCCUAAACUCAUGGCAAUCUUUCCAUAUCAUGUCCAUUCCAUCUUUGAGCUAAAACAUACCACUCACAUCAUACUGUAGGGAGUGUUUCCCACAAACUACUCCUUUCUCAUGAAGAUCCUUCCUUCCUCUGGUAUCUGGCUACUUUAUCUGAUCCUCCAGAUUUAGCCGAUUCCUCAUCUCUGAAAGAGAUGGCCUGACCACCCCAGGCCCUACUGGGAUACUCUUUGUCAAUGCUUAUUCCAGUAGAAUAUUUUUCACAAACUAUUUUAAUUGUGGGUUUAACUGUAUGCCUUGCUCACUAGCCUGUACUUGCUCCAUGAAGGCAGGGAGCUCACCUUUCAUUUCCUUACCCUCAGCAUUGAGCACUAUGCAUGGCAAUUAGCAGAUAUUCAAUACAAUUGUGAGGAGUGCCAGGGAAGGCACUGGGUGAUAUCAAGAGGGUGACAGAGCCAUCCCCUAUGGUUUAGAGGGAAAUUAGACAAGUGGCUCCAAUGCAGGUGCAUCAUGGUUGAUGCUGAGAAAGCUGGGAGGGAAGUUAUCUCUAGGUAACUCGAAAUCUUUUUAGGUUCCUUAAAUUUGGUAAAAGUCAUAUCUGCAAAAAUGUACUUUUUCUUCUUCAUAAAACUUAGGACAUUCAUAAAUUCCCCUGGAGCCAUCCAUGGAUUUCUGGAGUGCCCCCUGCCUUACAGCAAUCUGCUCCGGCCCUCAUCCAGCUGCCCUCCAUGGGUACAUGUGUUUAAGGAGCAUUUGAGAUUAACUCAAAGGGUGCCUCUUUGCUCCUUCUGUCUUGUGGCUACUCAUGAGGGGGUGAAGUUCACAGAGGCUUUCGGAUGGACUCUUCAGGGCUGAGACCAAGAGCCACCCCUUAAAAAGUGCUGCUUGUCAAUCCAGUUAACAAAUGAGAUUAACAUCCUCAUCUUAAUGAGUGGCUGGUUCCCAGUCUGUUAUUUCACAGGUUGACACUAGAUGUCAGGGAAAGACUUAGCAUUCUAAUUUGCAGGUCUCAACACCAUCCAGCAGAAAGGAAGGCUGCCUGCUGAGGGAAAUCAGAUAUUGAAAAUUGGCAAAUUUCCCACUGUGACUACUGGGGACACCAGGGUUCUUAUGCAAAAACAUCACUACCCUGCACAUGCCCUAUUAGAUAUACCUUUGAUGCUGUUAAAUUCCAUUUACAUGCCCUGGACA